CCAAGUUCGAUAAGAGAAAGAGCCUUAACCAAGCUCAUCAUCAUCGUCUAUUGAUUUGGAAACUUUAAACUGACAACAAAGUUGCAAAACUUUGUGCCAAGAUUGUUAGAAAGUAGUUGAUGAGCCGGAAAGAUCCUUGAAAAGUAGUUCUUAUCUGUGCAGUUGCCUAUCGUCUAUCGAUUUUGUUGUCUGUGCUCUGCCGCUUCACGCUGCAAAUUAUUUUCACUUGACAAGCAGUGCACACAAACAGCAAGCAACACAAAAGGAAUUGCAGCGACAGCGACAGCAAAACGAUAAUAUUGCAUAGGAUUUGGGUCAAACAGCCCGGGCAGCGCAGCAAUGGAAACAGCAGGGGUCCAAUAGUAAUGCGGCUAAUUCAGCUUUUUUUUUUUGUUUUUGAACGACUCUGGUUACCCAAGAGGGUCGAUACUAGGCCUGAUUAGUUCUCCAGUUGCAUCAAGGAGUGCAUUUUGGUGGAAACCUUGGAUUUUCGUUAGCAACUUGUUGGUUUCUCCCAUGUUCUACCCAAAGUCUGAGGCUUAAGAAGUCUAAGAUCUAGCAAUAACUAUUAUCACGUUAACUAGAUGCUUACUUUUUUAGAAAGGUACAUUUUUCUGCGAUUGUUUUCGAAUCAGUAAAUAUUUGGGCACUUUUUUGAAGCUGUUUCUAUAUUGACAUUUAGCUGCUCAAGAUUUGACAACAUGUUUUUCCCACUUGACAGUUUUGUCUGGAUUAGCUCUUAGCUACUUUUGGAUUUUUGGCACCACUGUUUGCUGUACAUUUUUUGUUCUCGCCCAUCUUCUUUUUAGUAACGUACUCGCCGCUCAUCUCUCCCUGUCCAUAUGUCCGUCUCCAUCCAUUUCGAGACGGGCGGUUGGUCUGCAGUUGUCUGUUUUGUGGGGCUUGCCUGUUGUAUAAUUUGCAAAAGUUCUGCUCUACCGCCGCGCUCCAUCUCUUUCUAGUCCCCUAUGGCCCUCUCGCUCCCCUCUCGCUCUUGCUCUCAUCCCCUUUCUAUUGGACCCCUGGGUGCAAAUUGUGUUGCCCGCUGUCAGUGGCAGUUGCAUAAUCCUUUUCGUUUCGUUUCGCUUGAGUCCUCUCCGUCCUUCAUCACUUGCUACUCUUCCUAUUCUUUUGGUUCUUCUUGUCCCUAUUCCUCUUCUUCGGCGUAUCCCGCUGUUGCUGCCUCUUCUCCCGUUACCGUUACCGUUACAGUUUCAGUGGCUGUGCUUGGCGUGUCAGAAAUGUUAAACGGCUAACAAGCACACACAAACUCAAAUGCAAACAAGCCAAACACGUGACACGUUAGAAAACAGGAGCUUUUGUAUGGCCAAACACGAGGGUGGACCCUAAUUCAAACACUACCAUGGUCACACUUGCGCCAAACAUGAUCGGUCAUGUAGCUCUGCUCCUUCACAAAGAAAGUUAAACAAAUGCAAAGAAAAGCUCAAGCGACGGCAAAAAAAAUUGUUUCUAAUGAUAUACUUGCAUUUAAUGAAAUAUAGUUCACAGCCUUGAAAACAAGCAGCAGUUAAGGUCCACCCUAGGGUAUUUGAGGUGUGUGUGUGUGUAUGUGUGUGCGUGCGAAAUAAUUAACAAGGUAUUAGCCGCAUCCCAACACACGAAACGUUUGAGUGACGGUGUAGGUGUGUUUUGGGUAUGAUAUUAAACUUGAGGCUAGGUUCCAGGCCCCUUCUGUCUCUUUCCCACUUUCGUUGAACAUAUUUGCAUUGAAUCUGUUAUGCCGUUAGGACACUGAAAACAUUUUUACUUGCGUUUAAAAUCAUUACUCUAAGCUCAAAAGUAUUGUGCCAAAAAUUGUUUCCUAUAUCAUGCACCGGAUAACACUGCGUAUGAGUAAUUCUACGUUCAUCUGAGUUUGGUUUUUCCAGAGUUUUGACUCUCAGUGCAGCACAGGCAGCACAAUUGGCACUCAAGUUGAAGCGUAGGAUAGAGAUAAGGAUGCGUCAGGGGUUGUGUGGGGGGUGCAAAAGGUCAUGAAGAGCCAUGUGCGGGCGAAAUCCCAAUUUAAUUGGCCUAGAAUUCGAAUCAUCUGCCGCACACUUACACUUACAUGCACGUGUGUAUAUGUAUACGAGUAGUACAAGUGCGGUUAAAAUAAUAGUGCUAACUCACGUGUAAUAAAUUUUAACAAGCUUAAGCUAUUAAUUUGAUAAUCUAUCUGCUCUCACUAUAAGUCUGUUGGCUAUUUUAAACAUUAAAUCUUAAUGGUUACUAAAGUCGCAGCUAUUUAUUUCACUACAAUUGUGGAUUUUGUAUAUGUACAUAUGUAUGCAAAUAUAAUGUGGAUACUUUUCAGGGGUCCUAUCGAUUGCCUGGAAUUCUCCACAGCGAGAUAAAGAGAGAGAUGGCGUAACCUGAAGUUUAGCAUCUCUUUUUCAUCGGCAUGGGCAUUCAGCUGAGGCCAGCUAAAAAAUGUGGCCGCAAUAAAAAUAAGACAAACACAAAAACACCGAGGAAAACCAUGCAGAACACAAAUUGAAGGCACAAUAAUGGGGGGAAGAAUAACAAUGCUUAAAAGGGCAUUUUCAGGAAGCAUUCCUUAGCAUUCGAUAACUCAUUUUAGGUUCAAGUGGCCGAAUCGAUUGCAUAACAUGUACAGUGGUCUCCCGAUUAAAUGGGAAAAUGGUGUCAAACUAUUCGAAGGCAGGCUAUUAUAUUUUGAAGACUUGAAUAUUAUAAGCAACUUUAUUUUCGUAUGUACAUAUAUGCUAAUCAAUUUGAUUAAUGAAAGUUUCGCAAGCACUAUGCUGGCUUCUCUAACAUUAGUAUGGUGCUAUACUUUAUAUAUAUCAUUUUUAAUUGCCUUGCGUUCUUCCCGAGGGAAACCUUUAGUUUCCCAGUGAGCUGUACUUUAUGUACACACAUUUCAAUGACUGCGCGUACUUUUCCUUGCAUUAUUGGUGGCAUAGCAAUGCCCCAUGGAAUUCCAAGCUCCAUUCCCUCUUCCUCUUUAUCGUCCUCUCUCUCCAUUCGGCCAGCUGUCUCGCUUACUCUUUCGGUGCUGUCCUGUUUGGGGGCGCAGGAAAUUAAAUGGGCGCCAUGGAUUUCGUUUCAAUUUUGUUUUUUCUUUCCCCCUGAAAAGUCGGAGUUUAGUCUCCCCCAUUUGGGCCACUUGACUGCUGUUGAAGCGAAACAUAUUGGCAGCGGCAUAUGGAUAUAUUGUGUGUCCGUAUAAGCACUGCCACGCCCCCUACCCGUUGCAAACGCGCCCCCUUCCGCUGUCAGUGGCGGCGUCAGUUUGCAUUGAAAUGUGUGCAUUCGAGAUGCAUUCUGACAGUUUCUGAUUUCCGCUUCCCGGGCAAAAGCUGCUCAAUGCCUCUAUGACACUGCACUCAGCCAACAAUUAAGCCUCUUUCACACCGACGGAGUUUGUGAAUUUAAGGAGUUGUAGUUCAAGAAUUCAAAAUUGAAAUAAUAAUGUAACAUUAAAACUGAAAUAUAUUUAUGCAUUGAUAAAUUAAUAUUCGUAUAUACAUAUAUAUGUAUAUCAUCAAAGAUGAUGGUGAUAUAUAACUUCUGCAUUAAAUCCAACUAUUUUUCUGGACAGUUGGCCAUUGCUUUUUUUCCAGUGUAUUUUCACUACACGUUAACUGCAAUAUGCCAACAGAGCUUUCGAUCCGUUUGUUUAUUCGUUCGACUGCACAUCAGUUUCUUGUUGUCGUUAUUCAAUGUGCUCAACUUUAUUAACUGCGGUGGCCGUUUUUUAUUAUUCUCUAUUUGUUUUCACAAUCCAAGAAUCCGUUCUGGUGUGAAGAAGUUAAUUACUGGACUCUCGCUCGUUCUUGAGCUGGUUUUUCCUUUUCGCUGAGUAGACAAACAGGAGCAGUUCGAUUUAAAGGCCCUCAGAUCGGAAAUACUCACACAAGAGCUUUAUAAAGCGACGUCUGAAAAAAUAAACUGCGCACUGAAGGGAGUUCCUUCUUGGAAAGACGUCGUUUUCGAGAAUUCGAGGAAGUACGACACAGUCUUGGAGGGAUUUUGAAAGGACUAACAUUGCAGGAUGCGGGAAAAUACUUUAUCAUUAUAGCCGGAAUAAUGUUUUAAAUACUUUGACAAACAGAGGAUAUAUCUUAAAUCAAAAGACAGUUAGCAAACACAAAGAAACAUAUAUAUUUAUAAUAUUACAAUAAACGACGAAGAGCUUUUAGUUGAUUCUAAAAA